UGGGGAAUUUUGGACAAUGGGGGAAACCCUGAUCCAGCCAUCCCGCGUGUGCGAUGAAGGCCUUCGGGUUGUAAAGCACUUUUGGCAGGAAAGAAACGUCAUGGGUUAAUACCCCGUGAAACUGACGGUACCUGCAGAAUAAGCACCGGCUAACUACGUGCCAGCAGCCGCGGUAAUACGUAGGGUGCAAGCGUUAAUCGGAAUUACUGGGCGUAAAGCGUGCGCAGGCGGUUCGGAAAGAAAGAUGUGAAAUCCCAGAGCUCAACUUUGGAACUGCAUUUUGAACUACCGGGCUAGAGUGUGGCAGAGGGAGGUGGAAUUCCGCGUGUAGCAGUGAAAUGCGUAGAUAUGCGGAGGAACACCGAUGGCGAAGGCAGCCUCCUGGGAUAACACUGACGCUCAUGCAAGAAAGCGUGGGGAGCAAACAGG
rnacentral:rRNA from 1 species